CCUACGGGUGGCAGCAGUGAGGAAUAUUGGUCAAUGGACGAGAGUCUGAACCAGCCAAGUAGCGUGAAGGAUGACUGCCCUAUGGGUUGUAAACUUCUUUUAUCUGGGAAUAAAAUGUUCCACGUGUGGGAUUUUGUAUGUACCAUAUGAAUAAGGAUCGGCUAACUCCGUGCCAGCAGCCGCGGUAAUACGGAGGAUCCGAGCGUUAUCCGGAUUUAUUGGGUUUAAAGGGAGCGUAGGUGGAUUGUUAAGUCAGUUGUGAAAGUUUGCGGCUCAACCGUAAAAUUGCAGUUGAAACUGGCAGUCUUGAGUACAGUAGAGGUGAGCGGAAUUCGUGGUGUAGCGGUGAAAUGCUUAGAUAUCACGAAGAACUCCGAUUGCGAAGGCAGUUCACUGGACUGCAACUGACACUGAGGCUCGAAAGUGUGGGUAUCAAACAGGAUUAGAUACCCUUGUAGUC
rnacentral:rRNA from 1 species